UCACGUUUCACAGUUUAAAAUCAAUCAACCUGAUACAAAGUAAUUGAUUAGUUUGGGGGUACUGAAAUCCAUCCAUCCAUCGUCAACCGCUUAUCCUGCGUACAGGGUCGCUGGAGCCAAUCCCAGCUGACAGUGUUUAUGUUAGUUGGCUGGUCAAAGAGGCGUCUUGUACCAAAGGAAUACAAUACCUUUGCAACUGGUUUAUGCUUGAUGCUGUCACUGAUGACUGACUGAAUGAUCCGCAGCAGUUGGGGUGAUUUGUGCCAGGGGGGAAGUAGAUCCACCCCUUGUUUCUGGAAAACCAUAGAAGAAAUUGGUCAUGUGACUACAUAAUUUUGAAAAGCCAUCCAUUUUACUCGUCCUUCAAAGAAAAGAGACACAUGGCAUGAGAGAUUCCAGUUCCCCCUCCUGCUUGAUGUCACCUCACUCCCUUCACCUGGUAGUCCCCGCCUAGCUACCCACCUGCAGCUGAUCGUCCUCAUCAGUCUGGCCACUUGCACUAGUUCCUUCCCAGAUUGUCUAGAGUCUCCAGCCUAGCAUUCCAGCGUACUAUAGCUUAGUUUGAUUAUUCUGUCCUGACAGUGUGUAGACCCUGUUCGUCUGUUCCCGGACCUGUCUUCUGCCUAUUGGAUUUGGAUUUUUUUGCCUUCUCUAGGACUGCUUGGUAUGGUGACCCUGCCUGCAUGACCACUUCUAUAAACUGAACUUGCCUUAUAAGUCA